rnacentral:rRNA from 1 species
GACGAACGCUGGCGGCGUGCCUAAUACAUGCAAGUCGAACGCAGUGGGGACGGGUGAGUAACACGUGGGUAACCUCCCAUCAGAGGGGAUAACACUUGGAAACAGGUGCUAAACCGAUACUGAUGGACGGACCCGCGGUGCCUUAGCUAUUUGGUGAGGUAACGGCUCACCCAGGCCACGAUGCAUAGCCGGGCUGAGAGGGUGAUCGGCCGCACUGGGACUGAGACGCGGCACGGACUCAUAGAGGAGGCAGCAGUAGGGAAUCUUCGGGGAUGGAGGAAAGUCUGACCGAGCGACGCCGCGUGAGUGAGGAAGGUUUUCGGAUCGUAAAACUCUGUGGUUAGAGGAGCGGUAUCUAACCAGAAAGCCACGGCUAACUACGAGCCAGCAGCCGCGGUAAUAC